CCCUUAGAUGUUCUGGGCCGCACGCGCGCUGCACUGAUGAAUGCAACGAGCUCUACCCUUGACCGAAAGGCCCGGGUAAACUUGUGAAACUUCAUCGUGAUGGGGAUAGAUUAUUGCAAUUAUUAAUCUUCAACGAGGAAUUCCUAGUAAGCGCGAGUCAUCAGCUCGCGUUGAUUACGUCCCUGCCCUUUGUACACACCGCCCGUCGCUCCUACCGAUUGAAUGGUCCGGUGAAAUCUUCGGAUUGCUGACCAAGAUCCAGCAAUGGAGCUUGGUUGCGAGAAGUUGAUUAAACCUUAUUAUUUAGAGGAAGGAGAAGUCGUAACA
rnacentral:rRNA from 1 species